ACCAGACUCCUACGGGAGGCAGCAGUGGGGGAUAUUGCACAAUGGGGGGAACCCUGAUGCAGCGACGCCGCGUGGGUGAAGGAGCGUUUCGGCGCGUAAAGCCCUAUCGGCAGGGAAGAAGGAGGACGGUACCUGACUAAGAAGCCCCGGCUAACUACGUGCCAGCAGCCGCGGUAAUACGUAGGGGGCAAGCGUUAUCCGGAUUUACUGGGUGUAAAGGGAGCGUAGACGGCCAGACAAGUCUGAAGUGAAAAUCCGGCGCUUAACGUUGGAAGUGCUUUGGAAACUGCCGGGCUAGAGUGCAGGAGGGGCAGGCGGAAUUCCUGGUGUAGCGGUGAAAUGCGUAGAUAUCAGGAGGAACACCGGCGGCGAAGGCGGCCUGCUGGACCGCGACUGACGUUGAGGCUCGAAAGCGUGGGGAGCGAACAGGAUUAGAUACCCUCGAA
rnacentral:rRNA from 1 species